AUCUAUGAAAUAGCGCCAGAACCUAUAGCGAUAUAGGUUGACGAGGACGAAGUUAUCGAAUUUUCGGCGGAUGCUUCGCGGUAGACACUACCGAUAUCUGACAGAGAAAUCCAAAAAGUGAUUUUUGGGACAAGGCUGUCAGGGUGUAUUAAG
rnacentral:ncRNA from 2 species